CGGGGGCUUGUCCCCCGUCGAGUGCUGAGGCAUCUCCGCCGGGGGGGGGUUCCCGGGGGCGGCCACGGAAGCCGCGGAACGGUAUUCCGGGGGCCUGUUCGUCCUUCCCGAGGCCCGGCCGCAGCG